UACUCGCUGGAUGUUUGAUUUUGUGACAUUUAAGUGCUUCCAGACUCAGCUCAAGCUUUACAUUUCAAUAGUACUGUACUUUCUAAUUUGUUGUGAGAGAACAAUUUGGAGGUGGAGGUAUUUUUCGGCUAAAGUUCUCUUUUCACAGGACCAUUAUUUCCUGAAGACCAAUGAAACAACCACAGAAGUCACCCGUGUCCCUGAUCCCAGUGUAAUCUGCUGCAGUGAAAGCAUUCUGGGUGUGAAUGAGAAGCAAUCACACAGCAGAAGGAGAGCUCACAAAUCCACCAAAUAAGCAAAUAUGGAAAGAACGUGACAUUGAGGACAUGAAUGGCUGCAUUUGAAACCACCGAGCUGAAGCCAUGACCAUGACCUCUGACCUCUGUGUGGGGGAGGGAAGAGAACAGAAGGAUCUCUCUGCAGAGAUCAAUAAAGAAACAUAUCAUUACAACAAAGCUAUAGUCACAUUCAUGCUCUGAUACACAAAAGAAAAUGUGUCGUAGCUGAAACAUCUGAACAAUAAAACCCACAACAAAACCUAUUAAUCAUAACUUAAGUCGUCAGUUUGUAUUUUUCUUUAUAAAGUAAUAUCACUUGAUUCUCUGACAGUCAUUGCAUUAUUGAAUUGAGCUUAACUGAACGUUAUCUGACAAUUUAUGACAUUUCCAACCAUUUAAAGGGUCAAUGUUAGUUUUUUUGU